CUCAGUUCGGAUUGGAGGCUGAAACCCGCCUCCAUGAAGUUGGAUUCGCUAGUAAUCGCGCAUCAGCCAUGGCGCGGUGAAUACGUUCCCGGGCCUUGUACACACCGCCCGUCAAGCCAUGGGAGCCGGGGGUGCCUGAAGUUCGUGACCGCAAGGAGCGACCUAGGGCAAAACUGGUGACUGGGGCUAAGUCGUAACAAGGUAAC
rnacentral:rRNA from 1 species